rnacentral:tRNA from 1 species
CCGAGCCUCAUCAUUUGUGACGUUCCACAACCUUGCCAAGGUUGGGGUCGAGGGUUCGAAUCCCUUCGCCCGCUCCA